rnacentral:tRNA from 1 species
GCCCGGGUGGCGGAAUUGGUAGACGCGCUAGAUUCAGGUUCUAGUGACCGCAAGGUCGUGGAAGUUCGAGUCUUCUCUCGGGCACCA